rnacentral:ncRNA from 1 species
AGCAGGCAAGCGCGAGGCACACACCAGGUCGUCUGAUAAGGACGGCAGCCCUUUGGGGUGGGAUCCUGGGUCCUCGGGGCCUGCUAUUCU